UUGACCUACCUGCUCGGCUGCUCCUAUACCCUUUCUCUCUCAUAUUCUCUCAUACAAUCUCCUCUAAGUCUCUAACCAUCCUACCCCUGUUUUUCCAUUUUAAUUAUCUGAAAAAUCAAGCUCGAUCUGCGAAUAACAUGGCACGAACCGCUGCGAAGAAGGAGACGUCUCGAAGCAAAAAUUCCAACAUUUCCAUGUCUCAAAUCUGGUUUAUCAAUCGAAGGUUGAGAGGCAAGCUUCAUCAAAGACGAAGUAUAAUUAAAGUUUAAUCUUAGUUGUUGGGAUGAAUUCGUGGAGGGAUCCGUGAAAUCAUUUCGUGCCGAUCUUGGAUCUACUCGUUAUUCGAUGAUAUCGGCAGUGUGAUGGAAAAUUAGUUCUCAAACUCACCGAUUACAUGGAGGUAUUACUCAGUUUCUUUUUACCUACUUUUUCUGGAAUUUUAGGGGUUUUUCUAUGUCAGGUUCCAAAUUGUUUGGUUUUACUACAAUGUUAGAACUAAUGGAUUGGAAUUAUGCAAUAUUUUUUUGUAGAUCUUAUUGAUCUUAUUCUAAAAUGAAAAUAUCAUUGGUUGUGUUAAAAUAAUUUAUACGACAAUUCACUUUCACAGGGAAUUAGUUGCUUUGGUUUCUUACUUUCUGAAAAUUCAUGCUUUCCUAGGUGGUAAUCUAUCUUGCAUUACAGAAUUGGCUAAUCAAACUAAGCUGUUUCUUACUUCUGAUUUUAUUCGAACACCUUCACUGCAUUUGUAGUGGAAAAUGUAUGCACGUAUACCUGGUGUUAUUCACUUGUUUUCUAAAUGGACUUCUCGGCAUUACUUGAUAAAUCUUAUUAAUCAAUCAAACUUCAUCUUAUUCCCUAUAUCUUCUCAUUUUAUCUCCUAAAUCUGUCCAAAUCCAUGUUAGUUCAUAGCAAUUGACCAUCAAACUAAGUUGCCAUUAAGGCAAAUUCUUAUUUUCGCUCUGCUGGAAAAUUUUAGCUGUGGUCAUUGUUACUACUCUAAACUACCUAGAUAAAUUAUCUGCAAGUUGUGUAUAGAUUUUCCAUAGUCCAAAUUGACCAAUGAACCUCCUAAGUGCACCUCACGGUGGACUUGUAGCUAAUUCUUAGGUUCACCAAUCCCAACCUCCCUAGUUUCAAGUAACACAGGUCAUCGUGUUGGCAUGUGAAUCAUCAGUCUACUCUGAAAGCAAUGUUCUUCAAUUGCCAGAAAUUUAUGGUUUAAACCAAAUCCUCCAUCCUUGCGCCUUUGCAGUUUCUAUAUUCUCCAUUUCUCCAUCAGGCUAGUCGUAUAAAGUUUUUUUAUUUGGAUAUGAAUGCUACCUUGUUUAACCAUAAUUCAUACUCUUCCUUUUAUCUCAUACUUUUGUGAUGCAUAUUAUGGGAAAUUCUUUUUUCUUUUGCAACAGUGCCACUCAAUAAUCAUUCCAUUUCUGUGAAUGAUGUGAUUCUGCAAGCAUAACAUAGCUAGAUUCACUAUUGUGAGCAUCCACCAGAAGUUGAAAAUAGGGAAUGGUAUCAAACCAUUGUUCGGAGUUUCAUUUUCGUGAUCGUCCCUUUUUCCAAUUGUAGAACAUAGCUUGUAUGAGCAAGCCUCUAGGCUCAUGCUAGCCUCAGCAGUUAGCACUAUGAUAGCUGCUUUAGCGUUUAGGUUAUAACUAGAAAUCGAAUUAGAGCUGGUUCCUAGAAUCAGGGGAAGUGCUGAAGUGGAGCAUUGUGUUUCAUGAUAUAGAUUUUUAGCUUUGCUCAAAUCACAUAUAUUUUACUAACUUUCUGUCAACGUAUCCUAGUAAUGAUAGAAGUCUUUGAAUAGUAUCUCUAAGAGUCUUAGGAAACAAUACAAAUGACAAGAAGAAGGUAUUGUUAAAAGAAGAAGAAAAGAUUAGGAUGUUCGAGUUGUAAUUUGUAAACUGUCAUGCUUGAUUCUUGAGCUUUAUGGUCUGGGUUAGUGGGUUACUGUUGGUGUUUUUUUUAUUUUUGUUGCUUGUUCUGCGUAUAUUCAGUGUUGUUUGUUUUGCGUAUAUGAAGUACCUGUCAUUAUUAUUUGUUCUGCAUAUUGUUAAAUAAAUGUUGUGAGAUGCAUGGGUAGUGUGUUGCAUUUGUGGCUGCUUUGUCUGAACAGCUUAUAUGUGCUCCUUUUAUGCGUUAAUGCUCUCUCUUGACUUUUCUUCUCACG